rnacentral:pre_miRNA from 1 species
GGUCUCUGUGUUGGGCGUCUGUCUGCCUGAGUGCCUGCCUCUCUGUUGCUCUGAAGGAGGCAGGGGCUGGGCCUGCAGCUGCCUGGGCAGAGCUG